rnacentral:rRNA from 1 species
UACGUAGGGCGCAAGCGUUGUCCGGAAUUAUUGGGCGUAAAGAGCUCGUAGGCGGCCUGUUGCGUCCGCUGUGAAAUCCCGGGGGCUCAACCCCGGGCCUGCAGUGGAUACGGGCUGGCGUAGAGGCAGGCAGGGGGAGAACGGAAUUCCUGGUGUAGCGGUGAAAUGCGCAGAUAUCGGGAGGAACACCAGUAGCGAAGGCGGCACUCUGGGCCGGUACUGACGCUGAGGAGCGAAAGCGUGGGGAGCAAACAGG